CACAUCUUGUGGUGCAUACAGCAUAUUGGCUGUGUAUAUUCAAGAACAAGUUUGAUGGGUUGAUCACAUUCGAGGCUUACAAGCCUAUCAAGAUUAUCAUGGAAAUUGGGGUGUUUGAUAGAUCAAGAUGAGCUUCUUGUGCUGCGUUUCUGCUUUGUUGCUGAAGAUCAAGGCAGUUUUACGGCAAUGUUUUGGCGGUUUUUCUUGGUUAUGGAAGAUUAAGAAGGGAACUUGUAUGACAAUGCACAGGCUAGUUACUAUGAAUAUCUGACUGAGAGGAAGAAGCACCAUGUUCUGAAAGAUGCGAAAGGGUACGUUCAGAACAGAUCAUGAAGUGCUGGUGAAGCUGAAAGCACUGGUGCAUUCGCCUUUUAAAUGCAAAAAACAUGGACAAAGUUCGGCUCCUGUGAUGAUCCUUGUCCAGUGAACACGAACAGUUUCUAUUAUUUGAAACAGGGGGCUCUUUGAGCCUUGUUUGAUCUGCUAGUUACAACAAGAUCAGGCAUGCUCUAUUUUGGCACUGCUUUAGUCUGCAGUUUGUAAUUAGCCUAAGUCUGGCUUCCCAGUUCUUGUUUGUUUGCGGGGUUUUGGUUCUAGUCCCCCCCAUUGUAUUCUUAAAAAAAAAAGGUUUAUUAAUAAUAUGGAGGGACGGGCGGGGGGCUCCCAGAAGUGUAGGUCCCCUCUCCUUCAGGAUUGAGGGUGGACGCUUGCGUCUUGUGACCUUCACUGAGGAGCUAAUCUCGCCUAAUCCUCUAGUAGAAAAA